UACGAAGGGGGCUAGCGUUGCUCGGAAUCACUGGGCGUAAAGGGUGCGUAGGCGGGUUUUUAAGUCAGGGGUGAAAUCCUGGAGCUCAACUCCAGAACUGCCUUUGAUACUGAAGAUCUUGAGUCCGGGAGAGGUGAGUGGAACUGCGAGUGUAGAGGUGAAAUUCGUAGAUAUUGGGAAGAACACCGGUGGCGAGGGCGGCUCACUGGCUCGUUACUGACGCUCAGGCACGACAGCGUGGGGAUCAAACAGG
rnacentral:rRNA from 1 species